rnacentral:tRNA from 1 species
GAGAAAUGGCAGAGUGGUCGAAUGCACUGGUCUUGAAAACCAGCGUACCGAGAGGUACCGGGGGUUCGAAUCCCUCUUUCUCC